rnacentral:sRNA from 1 species
AGCAGCCGCGGUAAUUCCAGCUCCAAUAGCGUAUAUUAAAGUUGUUGCAGUUAAAAAGCUCGUAGUUGAAUUUCGGAAUCAGUACGCUGGUCGUGCCUUCGGUAUGUACUGGUGUCACUGGUUUCUCCCUUCUGAAGAACCAUCAUGCCAUUCACUUGGUGUGGUGGGAAAUCAGGACUGUUACUUUGAAAAAUUAGAGUGUUUAAAGCAGGCUCGCGCUUGAAUACAUUAGCAUGGAAUAAUGAAAUAGGACGUUAAUCCUAUUUUGUUGGUUUCUAGGAUCGACGUAAUGAUUAAUAGGGAUAGUUGGGGGCAUUAGUAUUCAAUUGUCAGAGGUGAAAUUCUUGGAUUUAUUGAAGACUAACUACUGCGAAAGCAUUUGCCAAGGAUGUUUUCAUUAAUCAAGAACGAGAGUUAGGGGAUCGAAGACGAUCAGAUACCGUCGUAGUCUUAACCAUAAACUAUGCCGA